AGCAGCCGCGGUAAUUCCAGCUCCAAUAGCGUAUAUUAAAGUUGUUGCAGUUAAAAAGCUCAUAGUUGAAUUUCGGGAUCAAUAUAUUGGUCAUGCUUAGGUAUGUACUGGUAUUAUUGAUUUCUCCCUUCUGAAGAACCAUGAUGUCAUUAAUUUGAUGUCGUGGGGAAUCAGGACUGUUACUUUGAAAAAAUUAGAGUGUUUAAAGCAGGCUUUCGCUUGAAUACAUUAGCAUGGAAUAAUGAAAUAGGACGUUUGAUUCUAUUUUGUUGGUUUCUAGGAUCGACGUAAUGAUUAAUAGGGAUAGUUGGGGGCAUUAGUAUUCAAUUGUCAGAGGUGAAAUUCUUGGAUUUAUUGAAGACUAACUACUGCGAAAGCAUUUGCCAAGGAUGUUUUCAUUAAUCAAGAACGAAAGUUAGGGGAUCGAAGACGAUCAGAUACCGUCGUAGUCUUAACCAUAAACUAUGCCGACUAGGGAUCGGAUGAUGUUAAUUUUUAAUGACUCUACG
rnacentral:rRNA from 1 species